GACGAACGCUGGCGGCGCGCCUAACACAUGCAAGUCGAACGAGAGAGAGGGAGCUUGCUUCCUCGAUCGAGUGGCGAACGGGUGAGUAACGCGUGAGGAACCUGCCUCAAAGAGGGGGACAACAGUUGGAAACGACUGCUAAUACCGCAUAAGCCCACGGGUCGGCAUCGACCAGAGGGAAAAGGAGUGAUCCGCUUUGAGAUGGCCUCGCGUCCGAUUAGCUAGUUGGUGAGGUAACGGCCCACCAAGGCAACGAUCGGUAGCCGGACUGAGAGGUUGAGCGGCCACAGUGGGACUGAGACACGGCCCAAACUCCUACGGGAGGCAGCAGUGGGGAAUAUUGCACAAUGGGGGAAACCCUGAUGCAGCGACGCCGCGUGGAGGAAGAAGGUCUUCGGAUUGUAAACUCCUGUUGUUGAGGAAGAUAAUGACGGUACUCAACAAGGAAGUGACGGCUAACUACGUGCCAGCCGCCGCGGUAAAAC
rnacentral:rRNA from 1 species